UACAUCUUUAACUAGUCCAACCCCUACCUCCCGCCAUUUUCCUGGUACAAUAGUAUCGUCACCGCCACCGAGUAGAACCCAAUGAGGUAACAGGAUAUUCCAGCGGCUGUCAGAUAGUCUAGAGAUCCUCCACCGCAGGUCACCACUACAGUCUUACCGUCCCGGUCGACGACUAGGACAGACCGCAUAUCGUGGCAUCUACUUCAAGAAACGUACAGUGUGGUGACACGUC
rnacentral:rRNA from 1 species